rnacentral:rRNA from 1 species
GGAACUAUCAAGCUAGAGUACAGGAGAGGUAAGUGGAAUUCCUAGUGUAGCGGUGAAAUGCGUAGAUAUUAGGAAGAACACCAGUGGCGGAGGCGACUUACUGGACUGAAACUGACGCUGAGGCUCGAAAGCGUGGGGAGCGAACAGGAUUAGAUACCCUGGUAGUCCACGCCGUAAACGAUGAGUGCUAGGCGUCGGAGGGGAACCUUCGGUGCCGCAGCUAACGCAAUAAGCACUCCACCUGGGGAGUACGAUCGCAAGAUUGAAACUCAAAGGAAUUGACGGGGCCCGCACAAGCGGUGGAGCAUGUGGUUUAAUUCGAAGCAACGCGAAGAACCUUACCAAGGCAUGACAUCCCAAUGACCGGUGUAGAGAUACACCUUCUCUUCGGAGCAUGGUGACAGGUGGUGCAUGGUUGUCGUCAGCUCGUGUCGUGAGAUGUUGGGUUAAGUCCCGCAACGAGCGCACCCUAUCUUCAGUAGCCAUCAUUAAGUUGGCACUCUGAGAGACUGCCGUGGAUAACACGGAGAAGGUGGGAUGACGUCAAAUCAUCAUGCCCUUAUGUCUGGCUACACACGUGCUACAAUGGUUGGUACAAGAGACGCAAGACGUGACGUUAAC